GCAUUGCUUCACCCUGGAACUGGCAUUAGCUAUUUGGACCAAUUAGUAUAAGAAAGCCUUAUAGGAAGAUGAAUGAGAGUUCUUGUUGAUAGAGGAGUCUAUCAUAGUGGUGAACUGAUGUGGAUUAGGAGACAUGUGUUGUUUCCUGCAGGGAUUUUAAUAGGGAAUCCUUAUUGGAUUAGGAGAGAUAUAUGUCUAUAUAUAUAUAUAUAUAUUGUGACCUAUGCUCUCACAGAUAUGCGCUCAAUUAAGAACUAAGUCCUAUUCUUGGUUAGAGCUUCAAUUGAUCUGACAGGGAGGAGAAGGAUUGCAACGCACUGAGAUUGAAUGGCAGCAGCUAUGGCAUCUUCAAAUGGCAGUUCAUCAGCUUAGUGUUAACAGGAGCACCUUGAGACUUUUGAAACCCGUCAGUAUUUUCAUUGCCCCCGUGACAUUGGUGAGUCUGCUCUUACCAAGCGAGAGGAAGGUCAAGUUUUUCAAUUGAAGAAUCUCAGGUUGGAUUUGGCCCUCGAAAUCAUUUGCAGCUAGUCGAAGUGCUUUGAGGGACUUGCAUGAGUAGAGGCUUAUUGGCCAGAUUUAUUUCAAAAAGGUUUGUGCAAUUCAUCAAAGAUGGGGGCAGAUGACCUUCGAGAUUGCUGUAUUGAAGGCGCAUGAGCUUUAAUAUGGAGAGCUUCCCAACAUUCUUGCUGAUGGGUCCGACAAGCCCA